rnacentral:rRNA from 1 species
AUGAUGAGGCCGCUGCGUCUCGUUCCCGGCCUCCUGCUCCUGCUGCUCUCGCGCCCGGCGCCGGCGCCGGCAUCGACGGUGGUCACCCACCUGCCGGGAUUCGAUGGGCCUCUCCCCUUCUACCUCGAGACCGGGUACGUGGGCGUGGAGGAGGACACCGGGGCGGAGCUCUUCUACUACUUCGUGGAGUCGGAGCGGAGCCCCGGCGCGGACCCGGUGCUCCUGUGGCUCACCGGCGGCCCUCGCUGCUCCGGCUUCAGCGGCCUCGCCUUCGAAGUCGGCCCCGUGAAGUACGUGCUGGCGCCGUACGAUGGCGGUUUGCCGCAGCUGGUAUACAACCCCUUGUCAUGGACCAAGAUGGCAAGCAUCGUCUUCUUGGACUCGCCCGUCUGCUCGGGCUUCUCGUACGCGCGCGACCCCGAAGGCUGCGACGUCGGAGACUAUUCCUCCUCUCUGCAAGUCCAGAGGUUUCUGAUUAAGUGGUUCACGGAUCACCCGCAGUACCUUUCCAACCCUUUCUACAUCGGAGGAGAUUCAUACGCCGGAAAGGUGGUUCCACUCAUCGCGCAAUACAUUUCAGAAGGAAUUGAGGGAAGGCAGCAGCCUGUCAUCAAUCUCAAGGGCUAUCUGGUCGGCAACCCUAUAACGGACCCAAAGUUCGAUGAAAAUUUCCAGGUUCCAGCUGCUCAUGGCUUUGGGAUAAUAUCUGAUCAAAUAUACGAGUUUUCCUUUUCUUUCCCCAAGGCUGCAAUGCAGCACUGCAAAGGAGAUUAUGUAAACCCCGUGAAUCAAAUGUGUGCUGAGGUGCUACAAACUGUAAACAGCCUCAUUUCUGAAAUCCUAGAUGCGCACAUCCUGUACAAAAAAUGUGUCUUCUCCGCGCCAAAGCCCAUACAUGAUGCAAUGGCUAGAAAGAACUUGUUGGAAGAAUCGGUCGAGCUAAAUGAGGCUCCUGCUCGACCUGCCAUCGAUUGUCUUACAUACGGUUACUACCUGUCAUACUUUUGGAUGAACAACAAGAUGACUAGAGAUGCUCUCGGGAUCAAGCAGGGGACGGUUAGUGAGUGGAAAAGAUGCAAAAGAGAACUUCCCUACCCAUAUGACAUGCCAAGCAGCAUACCAUACCAUAUCAACCUCACCAUGAGAGGUUACCGUGCACUCGUGUACAGCGGAGACCAUGAUCUUCAGGUGCCUCAGUUGAGCACGCAAGCAUGGAUAAGGUCUUUGAACUUCUCGAUAGUCAAUGAUUGGAGGGCAUGGCAUCUCAAUGGCCAGGCCGCAGGAUUUACCAUUGCAUAUGCGAACAAUUUGACAUUUGCAACAAUAAAGGGUGGUGGUCAUACUGCUCCAGAGUACCAGCCAGAAGAAUGCUUUGCCAUGGCCCAACGAUGGCUGGCAAAUGAGCCACUUUGA